AUGGCUCCUACCAGUAGCAACGCUCGGGUCUUGUGUCUGGUGGCUCUCCUGGUCAUGUCUACCACCUUCUUGUCCUGUGAUGCAGCAGGUGGGUGGACGAAGUUUUGCGUACCCGAGAAAGCCUGCGAGACCCCAGCAGGACUUCACGGUGACUAUGUGUGCAAGGUUGACUGCGGACGCCAAGGUUAUGAUGAGGAUAAAAGCCACUGCACGAGUGGCAUUUGCUGCUGUGAAAAGUAA
rnacentral:rRNA from 1 species